UACGUAGGGUGCGAGCGUUAAUCGGAAUUACUGGGCGUAAAGCGUGCGCAGGCGGUUUGUUCAGUCUGAUGUGAAAGCCCCGGGCUCAACCUGGGAACUGCAUUGGAAACUGGCAAGCUCGAGUAUGGCAGAGGGGGGUGGAAUUCCGCGUGUAGCAGUGAAAUGCGUAGAGAUGCGGAGGAACACCGAUGGCGAAGGCAGCCCCCUGGGCCAAUACUGACGCUCAGGCACGAAAGCGUGGGGAGCAAACAGG
rnacentral:rRNA from 1 species